CUAUUUCUAGAGAUAGAAAGUUACUUCGGUACAUCGGUGACAGGUGGUGCAUGGUUGUCGUCAGCUCGUGUCGUGAGAUGUUGGGUUAAGUCCCGCAACGAGCGCAACCCCUAUUGUUAGUUGCCAUCAUUCAGUUGGGCACUCUAGCGAGACUGCCGGUAAUAAACCGGAGGAAGUGGGGAUGACGUCAAAUCAUCAUGCCCCUUAUGACCUGGGCUACACACGUGCUACAAUGGUUGGUACAACGAGUUGCGAGUCGGUGACGGCGAGCUAAUCUCUUAAAGCCAAUCUCAGUUCGGAUUGUAGGCUGCAACUCGCCUACAUGAAGUCGGAAUCGCUAGUAAUCGCGGAUCAGCACGCCGCGGUGAAUACGUUCCCGGGCCUU
rnacentral:rRNA from 1 species